UUUUCCAAUUCCUCCAAGUGAGCAGCGGGGAUGUCGCCAGAAGCUUUCAUGGCGGCCACGGUCUGCUCACGCGCGCCCAGUUCCUGUUGCAUCGUCUGCAAGAUGAAAUUGAUUUAAUAAUAUUCAAUACCACUUCAUCUUUUGGCUAGUUCCAUAAAUUCUACCAGUCGUCUGGACUCUUGACAAGGCUGAACCGUCUGUUGUUGGCUCUGGAGGCGAUAGAGACCGAUCUUGACCUGUCCAGCUACCCCUUCACCCUCUCUGACAGACACUAUAACCAGGUUGUCGUGGGCCGUAGUCGGUUUGACCGGUCUAUUAACUGAAUUGUCUGUCCAUCUAAUUGGUUAUAAACGUUAAGUAGAUGGAAAACGAUAGCCUUUCCCCCAAUCUGAUCAGGGACCCUCACAAAGCUCCAAAACAAUGCAGCUAUGUAUAUAGAUAUCUCGGAAUUUCAUGCUAAGCCACCACAUAUUAUUUCGUUAUACAAGAUUAAGUUUUUAAUUCUUAUAGGAUUAACGCUGACAAAAAAUUAAGUUAUGGUUUCUUUGUAACUAGCUUUUUUUUCAAAUCUUAUUAAUGAAGAACGGUUACUUGUAGAUGCAGUUUGAAUUCUAUCUGAUUUAUGUUUGAUGAAUAAUAAGUAAGAAUUGGUAAAUUUGUAGAUAGGGCGUCUCAACGAACUCGUGUAAAGUCUAUUAACAUGUAAACAGCUCCUAUAUGGGGUUUAAAACGCCUUUAAAUUGACCAUGGUAAAUAUUUAAACAUGAACUUGAUAACAUGGAGUUGUUUUGGGACAGCGCCGAUCCAAUGAUACAGCGAUCUGAAUGGUUGUAUAUCAUUACCCAAACAGAUAAGAUCAAUCCGAAGUGUGCUGACUUGUUACUCCCUUAUCUUGUCCGCAACAAAAAUCUCCACACUCUGAGGUAUGCAUGAAACAACAAAAUCAAAGGUCAAAACAAAAUAGAGUAAACUAUUGGAAAAGAACUAGAGAGGAAUAUUCAUUGUGAUCACUUUGUAAAAUAACAAAUGCAGGAGGGUUGCACCAAGAAACUUUUAAGAAAGCAAAGGGUUUCAAGAGAUGGAGACCACAUUUCAAGAGUAAACCACACCGCUGAAUCCCCGGAACAAGACAAAAGAUCAUUAGAUGUAUCGUGCAUUAAAAUCAUCAUGACAUUAAAAUACCAAAGCAGACCCUUGAAAUAUACCCAAUGUUUGUACAUGUACCUUAUUUUGUACCUUGCUUGUAUUCAUAAUGUUUCUGGCACAAAACGGUACCAUUUAUAAUGUCUAAGAUGUUUUAGUAAAACUUUCAGUUUGC
rnacentral:sRNA from 1 species